rnacentral:rRNA from 1 species
AUUGAACGCUGGCGGCAUGCCUUACACAUGCAAGUCGAACGGCAGCACGGGAGCAAUCCUGGUGGCGAGUGGCGAACGGGUGAGUAAAGUAUCGGAACGUGCCCAGUCGUGGGGGAUAACGUAGCGAAAGUUACGCUAAUACCGCAUACGAUCUAUGGAUGAAAGCGGGGGAUCGCAAGACCUCGCGCGAUUGGAGCGGCCGAUAUCAGAUUAGGUAGUUGGUGGGGUAAAGGCUCACCAAGCCGACGAUCUGGAGCUGGUCUGAGAGGACGACAAGCCACACUGGGACUGAGACACGGCCCAGACUCCUACGGGAGGCAGCAGUGGGGAAUUUUGGACAAUGGGCGAAAGCCUGAUCCAGCCAUGCCGCGUGCAGGAUGAAGGCCUUCGGGUUGUAAACUGCUUUUGUACGGAACGAAAAGGUUUGGCCUAAUAAGCUGAGCUCAUGACGGUACCGUAAGAAUAAGCACCGGCUAACUACGUGCCAGCAGCCGCCGUAA